AACCUGCAUCUCCACCUUAUUAUU
rnacentral:siRNA from 1 species